rnacentral:rRNA from 1 species
UACAGAGGUCCCAAGCGUUGUUCGGAUUCACUGGGCGUAAAGGGUGCGUAGGUGGUGAGGUAAGUCGGAUGUGAAAGCUCGGAGCUCAACUCCGAAAUGGCAUUGGAAACUACCUUGCUCGAGGGUUGGAGGGGGACUGGAAUACUUGGUGUAGCGGUGAAAUGCGUAGAGAUCGGGAGGAACACCAGUGGCGAAGGCGGCUACCUGGACCAGCACUGACACUGAGGCACGAAAGCGUGGGGAGCAAACAGG